AAGAAUAUUCCGCAAUGGACGAAAGUCUGACGGAGCGACGCCGCGUGGAUGAAGAAGGCCGAAAGGUUGUAAAAUCCUUUUGCUGAGGAAGAAUAAGUGUGGGAGGGAAUGCCCGCACGAUGACAUGAAUCGGCGAAUAAGCCCCGGCCAACUACGUGCCAGCAGCCGCGGUAACACGUAGGGGGCGAGCGUUGUUCGGAAUUACUGGGCGUAAAGGGCAUGUAGGCGGUUAUGUAAGCCUGGCGUGAAAGUCCACAGCUUAACUGUGGGAUUGCGUUGGGAACUAGAUGACUAGAGUUACGGAGAGGGAGCUAGAAUUCCUGGUGUAGGGGUGGAAUCUGUAGAGAUCAGGAAGAAUACCGAUGGCGAAGGCUAGCUCCUGGCCGAUGACCUGACGCUGAGGUGCGAAAGGUGUGGGGAUCAAAACAUGGAUUAGAUAGCCCUGGUAGUCCAGCACUGUAAAGCGAUGUGCAGCUAUGGUGCUGGGGCGGAUGCUUCCAGUG
rnacentral:rRNA from 1 species